rnacentral:rRNA from 1 species
GACGAACGCUGGCGGCGUGCUUAACACAUGCAAGUCGAACGGAAAGGCCCCUUUGGGGGUACUCGAGUGGCGAACGGGUGCGUAACACGUGAGUAACCUGCCCUUGACUUCUGGAUAACUGCAGGAACCUGGGGCUAAUACCGGAAAGGACGCAUUGCUGCAUGGGGGGGGAUGGAAAGCUUCUGGGGUUUUGGAUGGACUCGCGGCGUAUCAGCUUGUUGGUGGGGUGGUAGCUUACCAAGGCUCUGACGGGUAGCCGGCCUGAGGGGGUGACCGGCCAUCCUGGGACCGACGUGCGGCCCAGGCUCCGACGGUUGGCAGCAGGGGGGAAUAUUGCACCAUGGGCGGCAGCCUGAUGAAGCAACGCCGCGUGCGGGAUGACGGCCUUCUGGUGGAAAAACGCCAUCAGCAGAGGCGAAGCUUGUGGUGACGGUACCUGCAGAAGAAGCACCGGCUAACUACGUG